rnacentral:lncRNA from 1 species
GGUGGUGGACGACGUCCUCUGGUCCCUGGUCACGGCGUUCGAGUCGGUCGCCUUGGUGGCCAUGCUGUGCUUCUUCUUCCUCUGCUGUGGCUGCACCGUAUGAUCCAAGCUUCGUCGGUAAGUUGUUCCUUCUGCAGUACUUGUGAGUGAGCUCGUUAGAUGAACAAGAAAGCUUGUAGUAGCGGUAUGUAAAUGCUUGCGUUUGCUAUAUCCGAAGGUAUUGUUGUCCUUCAAAGCUAUGCUAAACCCAAUCAAGAAGUA